CUUCAGAGGGAGGAUAAUGUUUGCAAUCAACGUUUGGAGAGUUUCUUGACACCGCGAGACAGGGUCAGAGACAAUUAACUUUCAAGGGUCUGGCCAGAAAAGCAUCCAAUCAAAUCCAGCCAGUCGUUUUCUUUCCUUGUGUUGUACAGCCAGUUAGCGGUCGAUCCAAUUAUGACUUAGGAUCAGAGUCUUGGUUGUACUGCGAGGCGUCCUGCAGGCAGACGCACACAGAGCAGGAGGAGAUCUCUGUGGAGGGCCGUCUGUCGCGCAGGGAUUGUUUGACACUCAGCUCUGAUUGCUCCGUUUUUCAGUGUUAGGUCCCCGCCGUAGGAGGCUAACAGGCCCAGCUCAAGACCGUCUCUCAGUCUGUCCUCCCCAAUGAGGACAAGCACAACUCCAGCUGGGUCGACGGGGUGCUGAUUGGCCGAGAGACUCAGCGCCUGCCGGGGGCACGAGGGAGAGAGGAGGGACCCAGGCGGUCCUGCUGUUUGUUUAAAGGCAGGAAGUCAUGUGGAAAGGCCUAAUGUUUUAAUUGGUGUGAGCGGCGACGGACGGUUCCUGACGAGACUCAUUAAUCAGAGCGGGGUGAAAAGGCUAGAGGCAGAAAGAGCACGAAGAAGAGACGGGAGAGAGAUGGAGGUAUCAGGCAGUACUGAGUGUCAGACAGACCUCUUCAGCUGGGCUCAGACUUCAGGAGUCGUUGAAUGAUUUUGAGUCAUUUUACCAUUUUUUUGUAAAGAUCUAUUUCACAGGUUCUUGCUAUUACUUUUGAGAGGCGAUGAUAGAGGAUAGAGAAGAAAGAGAGGCAGCAACACGCAGGAAAGAGGAUAUAGAACAGAACUGAACCUUGGCAGCUGUAUCAAGGAGCUCAACCUCUGCACACUCGCCUUAAUCCAGUGGCACCCCUCACUUCAGAGGAGGAAACUGUUUAUGAAGUGUUAACUGGGAUUUCCACCGCAUCCGAAACGGCACCGAUCUGGAAUGGCAGCGAUUUUCACUGUACGCAAAUUCCUUCCGGCUCCAUUUGUGAGACGAAUCAUAAGAACUCACGAGAACCUGCGGAUUCACAUGUAAUCGCGCGAAAACGAGUUGUCUUUAGCCACAUAGGCAAAUAUAAGCAGUAGAUUGUGGAAAUCUACUUCUAGACUCAUAAAAUCAGCAUCCUCUCAUCCAUGAUGUCAUCGUGGUGAAAUGCUGUCUACAAACCUUUUACUUGUUCGUCCCCGCCCGUUUGCAUGGUCUGAGAUACAAACCGCCUAAAAACACUAGUGUUUUAUUUUGAAAAGAAGCCGGAUGCUUUAUUUUGUGUCUGUGCUCGACUUCCUUUCCAGCACGGGUUGAUCUUUGCUAAAUUUAUAUGGCAUGCUACAGCGUCCAGAAAAAAAUUGAACUCUUGCGAUUAGCUGCGGAGUCCGGCGAGCCGCAGUGGAACGGAAAGAGGCCGUUGGAAAUUGACACAUUACCUUAAAUGGUUGCGAUCAGCUACGACCGGCGGAUACGGCCUUUUUGUAGCUGUUCCGGAUGUGGCGGAAAACGCCGGUAAAUUUUUUAUCAUUAACUGCAUCCAGAACAAGCUGCUUGUGGGAGCAUUGAUGCCUUUCAGCAACAAGAUUUGAACACCUAUCGUCUUUAUUCUGUUACAGCUGUACCUCAUAAAUGUCUAUUCAAACCAAACAGGACAAAGCAGCUCUGCAUGUGUUUGAAAUAAAACACUAAAAUAUCCCUGAAUUUUCCAUGUGUGCAAAAUGCAGAUUUUAAAAUCAGUCGACAUCUCUAAACUCCUGUAGUUUCUACCCCGUCUUCGCCUCCUCGUCCUCCUUCCUCGCAACAAUCAGAGACACCCACUGACACCCUCACAGCUGCGUCUGUCACACUCGGCCACUCAACCACAGAGAGCCGAGCGAGGCUGCAGCAAUAAUUAGAAACUAUUUACACAGGCGUACAUGUGUACAUGUUGAAAAACCCACUCCAGAUCACGGAGAUGCACCACAGAGACAAGAUCUAUGUUGUACAGCAAGAUCCCUGUUUGUCAUGUCCAUCACGGCCUUUGCUUUUCGAGGCCAGUUCAAGCUGCACAACACAUACUUGACAACAAGCCUGAAGAGAUUGAAACAUCAGCUACACACACACAAAGAAUGAAUCAAUGAAUCGCAUACAAAAGUUCCCUUUGGCCAGUCCAUCACACAGCAGCUUCUCUGACUGGACUGAUGUACCCUACACAAACUAGGAAAAAAAAAAAAGCUCUUUCCUCCACCACUGUCUUUCUCAGCGCGUCCUUUCAGCCUCUUUGCCCUGAUCUCAUUCAGGUCACUUCACCUAAUGGAGUAAAAUUUUGGCCCCGAGGCCUGGAGCUGUCUUCUGGUCUCAAACAUCCACAUUUCAGGACUUUCUUUGUUUCUCACUCCUCGGACCCCGUGUCUCUGCCCCGGGCUCACACACACACACAGAGAAGUCACUUAACCGCCUCUUAGGUUGCCAUUUCUGCAGCUAUUCAUGGCCGUACCAUUAAAGCAGGGCUGGCACUUUAUGUUUGUGUCACUGCAUUUGGUUUCUGCCUCUCUCUAUGGCCUCCAUUUUGAACUAUUACAUUACAACCAGUUGAAAAAUGAUACCACCGGAACGCUGCUUCAACUAGUGCCCAUACUGAGAUCAUGAAUGCCUCUUUUAUUGACAGAUCUUCUUAUAAAAAUAUCCGAAAUGACACUUUCCCUCGUCCUUUGGCUGUUCAUUACACUAAAAGGUCAGUGUCGCCUUCGCUUUUGGGAUUCUCUCAGAGGAAAGUGUGUUUUUCUACUCUACUAGCUCCAAUUUCAUACUCGUGUUCCUCUGUUUUAGAUGCUCAUUUUUUGUUUGGAUCACAGAAUCCAUGUGUAGUAUUAUGCAAAUGUUUGCCCAGUGCUUUUCCCCUGUGAUGGGUUUCCAUCCAAAAAACAUUUCAGCAUGAAGACAAUUGCGCACAGAGGUAGAGUAGGAGAAGGAAAUGGGUGUUGAAAUUGCCUUUGUUUGUGUAAAUUGUGUAGAGGCUAGUUAGAUCUGUGAAUGAUGGAAAGGAAAAUUAUGUCUUUUUCAAAAAUUUGCCACUUUAUCCAGAUUUAAAAGUAGCGACAAUUUCAGUUUGUCUUUCGCAUCUGCCAACAGCUUCUGGUGUCGUGAGGUUUAGACGAGAAGUUUCUGAGUGAAGUUGUGAGAGUAGGAGCUGUGAUUGUGAGGAGCUGAGGUUUAUAGCUGGUGUUACUUAUUUAAGACCCCGAAUCAAAAACAAGUAAUGUGGAGUGAGUGGACGGUCAGGCAAAUAGAGUCAUGAGACAGCUGACAUGAAAACAUCCCCACUGCUCUUGCUAUUGAGAAGGGUUUCGACCAAUCAGAACCAAGUAUUCAACACAGGAAGGUCAUUAUAAGAAAAGAUGGAUAAUACAUAAGACUGUGAGAUGCAGUUGUUUCAGCUAUAGAGGUAAAAUUGCUGGUUACUUUUUAAACAUUAUCAAAAAAAACAAUCCCAAACUACCAUGAUUACAGAUUCAGAUUCAGACUUUGUCGUUGUACACCAAGUUACAACGAAAUUAGUUCAGGAUGCUCUUCCCUGUGUGCAACAAAAGCAAUAAAUAUAAGAACAAUAAAUAUAAAAACAAAAAGUGUAAAGCACACUGUAUAAAAACAGCAUUAUAUGGCCUACUAGAAAAACUUUAAAUAAUGAAAUAUACGAAUCAUACAGCCCCAAACUUCCAGUGAAUAUACAAUUUAUGUCAACAGGAAGCUAUGGCGAAAUUGUGAAGUGGAUUUGCCCACAUGCCCAUGGAAAUAGCAAUAUGUGAUUAUACCAGGUAGCAGCUGACUGUGUGCUGUUGCCAACAUUUACAAACUGUACUCAGAAUUGCAAAAACUGCUUUUUUUUUUUUAGGCCAAGAGCACUCUGACUUCAAACCUGACUGAUCUAAGCCUAUAGAGGGGGCAUAGCCCACUAACCCGCAUGUGCAGCACAUAUAAACAAAAAUAGCCAUGCAGAAGCAGAGGCACUGACGUCGCCAUUUUCCCUAAAACUAUGUUUGCACUAUUCAUGGGAUUUCAGAUGAAUCAGAGUUUUAAUAAAAUCUGCUCUAGACUCAAAAACUCUAAAUUUCUAGUGACCUGAAAUGCCACCCUAAGCCAGUUUUCAUAAUAAUUCCCGUACACAUGGACAUGGCCUUUUCAAGGAGUGGGCAGAGACCCCACUUGUCCCCCUCUUCAGCAGCCACUGGAAAAUAGACGCAUGUUACUCAUGAGUUUAGUAUUGAUUCCCAGCUUCAGUAUAACCACAGUGAUGAAUAUAAGGUCACAGACACACAUUUUGACUCACAGCCUGAUCCAGCUCCUCCAGUGUGAACCGGUAACGUGAUCUCUCCUCGAGUGCGACGCCACCUACAUACACGCUCAGUCCCACACAGUCCUUUCCCAUCAGGCGGCGUGCACUCUGGAGGGCCAGUUUUCCUGGUGGGCAUGGUUUCCUUCAACUGUCCACCCACCAAAAACUCAUCAUCUUAAUUGUCCCUUCUGUUGAUGUGAAAUUCAAUAAAAGUGGCAGGGAGCGUUUUGAAUUGAUUGUGAAUAGAUGUGGCUGCCUGGCUGUCGUCUUUCCUGACAGCUGGAGGAGAGUUGAUGUACUGUAUUCCUCCAAGUGUGUAUGUGUGUGUGUGUACAUGUGUGAUGUGUAGGUGUGUGUGGCGAGCGUCGGGAGUGGGUGGGGGUUUCUUCAUUAUCUUGACUUGAAAAGUGGUUUUCAUGGAAAUGUGGCACAUCUGUGACAAAUCGUGUCUGCACUGCCCACCCUCUGCAUUUUUUUUUUCUUUUUUUACAUAACCUUGCUGGUAGUGCAUUGCAAAUCUGUCUCUUCACAUUUGUACAGUUAUGUACAAUUGCUCACAGGGCAUGAAUUCCUCAUUGGCGUUGGCAAAAUGGGGAGGUAAAAGAUGAAAAACCAUCAAGUCCCUACUUUUCACAUGGCUGCACUCGACUCAUUGCUCUCUGAUGGCGUGCCCAUGCAACUAAAGCUGUGAAAAAUGAUGUUUUUUUUCAGGCUGUUUGACCUUGGCCUGAAAUACACAACCUAACCAAUAUUUAACAUGUUGCUUUUUCCACACCUGCUGCCUCCGGGGACGCCAUCAGCAAAGCGCUCCUGCAGAGUUAGAAGGGCCAAGGAAGGUAAAGUGUCACACUGAGCUAUGCAACGGCAGGUGAUGAUGUGGAAAAACAAACUCAUCCAUCUGGAGAGUUCGGCACUGCAACACGAUUCAAAGCCGCUUGGACGUGUUCGGUAAAGAUCCGUUUUGAUACCCCGAGGACGGCGUCUCUUGUUAAUUGAUAAAGUCUUAACACGUGUCUGUGAGGUUGUCAUCCAGAAAAAGCAUGAAAUACAUUCAACUUCGCUUUUUUUAUCUUUCUAAAUCAGUAUCGAUCAGCAGAGCUUGUUCCUCUCCAGACGGCAAUCAAGACAUUACAAUGCCUGGCACCCAUUUCCACCCCCGUCCUGCAUUGAUUUUAGGAAAAGCAGGCCUCCUCUGAACUCAGCCGGUACUUUAAAAACUUCAUCGCUGUCUAGCUCGUUAUCAAACGCCUCAGGGGCCCUCUCUGCCCUUCAAAAUAAAAGGUUGCCAAUAUUUGCCUCAUUAUUAUUUUAUCUAUCCUUCAAAAACCCCUCUAGUCUUUUACUCUCUUAAUCCCUGUUCAAAUGGCGAUGUCAAAGGAUUUUGAUUUUUGUCUUAAACUUGUUCAAUUUGAAGCCAUUGUUGUUUUGAAAUGGUCAAAUAGUCACACAGGGCCAUUUAUUCCUGCAUGUUAUCAUGUUGUAUCACACUAGUAGCACUCUGCAUCACUUUACAUUAAAGCUCCAAUGGGGAACGUUUAUUUUAUGUCCAGUUUGGCACCCUUACAAACCAAAGUCGUGUUUUUUCUCUCUAUUGUCCUCAAGUUCAUUAGUAAGUUGUGUCUUAAUUUUCUUUCUUGUAAUGGUACAAAGUGUCACUCACUGUUACAGCCUUAUAAAUAUCUACAUCGUAAUUAUUAUUGAUUGUCCCUCUGAUGGUUUAGUGAGCUAAGUCAUGUGGAGGCAUUGGUAUCAAUUGGAGCCUGUUUAAAAACCAGCUGAAAACUUCUUACAGGAGCUUUAAAGCCCUGCGAUGCGUGAGAUUUAAAGGUGCAGUGUGUAGUUUUAGCAGCAGUCAACAGAGUAGAUUUGGUAAAAGUUGGAUAUGAUUAAUUUUGGUCUGUGUUUUAAAGGGAUAUUCUGGCGUAGAAUUAAGUUAGGGUCAAAGAAACCAUAACACUGAGUUAGACACCCCCUUGAGAGAUGAAUGUUGCCAACCGCUUGCUUCUCUAGUUAUACCAACUUUACAAACGACCGCAGAUAGCAAUACAGAGAGCCACGCACCCAACUAAAACGCCACUCUAUAGCAACAAAUAAUGUUCAGAACAGCACCUAACUUCACCAACAGGACACAUAGGGUCCCAGCCACAGUACUAGCCAACAAACAUCUUUUUAAGUUUGCCUAAUUUCUUUAGUAAAGAGACUAAACACAACUCACCCACUCUCUUCCAGCAAUCGCUUGUCUGUAUGGAGACCUAAGGCCAGUCCAUUACAGCUAUCUGCGGUCAUUUGUGAAGUUGGUAUAACUAGAGAAGCAAGCAGUCAGCAACAUUCAUCUCUCUACAGGGUGUCUAACUCAGUGUUACGGUGUGUUUGACCCUAAAUUAAUUUUACGCCUGAAUAUCCAUUUAACCAGAUUUUUUAAAAAUUACAUACUAAUGCUUUAAAACCAAAGUUUACAGUGUAGCUGCUGAUGGAAAGGGGAAAAAAAUUAACAUAGCAGCUGACUCACCCUCAGCUUUUAAACUGAUGUUGCUUUCAGUCUAACCCUCUCUCUCUCUCUCUCUCUCUCUCUCUCUCUCUCUCUCUCUCUCUCUCUCUCUCUCUCUCUCUCUCUUUGUCUCUCUCUCGCCCUUCAUUAAUUACAGGCUCAGCAUCAGCCGAGGAUCUCACAACACGGGGUUAAUGUGGGAGAGGAUAUGUCGCCCGGGGAAGCUGGUGCCUGAUGCCAGUAGGUUCUCCACACCCCUCACAUCCCACUGUGACACCCACAUUCACACUCCUGCCACCCGUGAGCAGCUAAGUGCACCUCUAAAUCAGCUUACAGAAGUUCGCUAAACACCGGGCAUAUUUCCAUGAAAUAUUAAUUAACCUGAAAAAUAACUAACACUGUCGGGGCUCUUUGUGUUUCACUUCUAGAUUCCCACUGACAGAAUCGAAGAUUUUGUUCGGAUUAAUUUGUCCAUUCACAUUCAAAUAAAUGCUUUCCUUUGUUGAGAGAGCGGCACAGGUUUUUGGCUUUUAGACUUUCUUUGUUCAUAUUUUAUUAAAUGAUUUUAAUGUUUGUAUGAGCCUAGGAACAAAAAAACAGAAGG
rnacentral:lncRNA from 1 species